rnacentral:SRP_RNA from 2 species
GCUGGGCAUGGUGGCAGGUGCCUGUAAUCCCAGCUACUUGGGAGGCCGAGGCAGGAGAAUUGCUUGAACCCAGGAGGCAGGGUUGCAGUGAGCCAAGAUUGUGCCACUGCACUCCAGCCUGGGUGACAGAGUGAGACUCUGUCUCAA